rnacentral:rRNA from 1 species
GAUGAACGCUGGCGGCGUGCCUAAUACAUGCAAGUCGAGCGAACAGACGAGGAUCUUGCUCCUCUGACGUUAGCGGCGGACGGGUGAGUAACACGUGGAUAACCUACCUAUAAGACUGGGAUAACUUCGGGAAACCGGAGCUAAUACCGGAUAAUAUAUUGAACCGCAUGGUUCAAUAGUGAAAGACGGUUUUGCUGUCUCUUAUAGAUGGAUCCGCGCGGCAUUAGGUAGUUGGUAAGGUAACGGCUUACCAAGGCAACGAUGCGUAGCCGACCUGAGAGGGUGAUCGGACAAACGGAAAGUGAGACAGGGUCAAGACUCCUACGGGAGGCAGCAGUAGGAAAUCUACCGAAAGGGGCGAAAGACUGAAGGAGAAACGCAGGGUGAGUGAUGAAGGUCUUCGGAUCGUAAAACUCUGUUAUUAGGGAAGAAAAAAUGUGUAAGUAACUAUGCACGUCUUGACGGAACCAAAUAAGAAAGCCACGGCUAACUACGU